rnacentral:tRNA from 1 species
UCCUGCUUACAUGGGUUUAAGUCCUGUUUCUAUCA